GUCCCCAUUGAGGAAGUAAAAGUCGUAACAAGGUCUCCGUAGGUGACCUGCGGAGGGAUCAUUACACAAAUAUGAAGGCGGGCUGGAACCUCUCGGGGUUACAGCCUUGCUGAAUUAUUCACCCUUGUCUUUUGCGUACUUCUUGUUUCCUUGGUGGGUUCGCCCACCACUAGGACAAACAUAAACCUUUUGUAAUUGCAAUCAGCGUCAGUAACAAAUUAAUAAUUACAACUUUCAACAACGGAUCUCUUGGUUCUGGCAUCGAUGAAGAACGCAGCGAAAUGCGAUAAGUAGUGUGAAUUGCAGAAUUCAGUGAAUCAUCGAAUCUUUGAACGCACAUUGCGCCCUUUGGUAUUCCAAAGGGCAUGCCUGUUCGAGCGUCAUUUGUACCCUCAAGCUUUGCUUGGUGUUGGGCGUCUUGUCUCUAGCUUUGCUGGAGACUCGCCUUAAAGUAAUUGGCAGCCGGCCUACUGGUUUCGGAGCGCAGCACAAGUCGCACUCUCUAUCAGCAAAGGUCUAGCAUCCAUUAAGCCUUUUUUUUCAACUUUUGACCUCGGAUCAGGUAGGGAUACCCGCUGAACUUAAGCAUAUCAAAGCCGG
rnacentral:sRNA from 1 species